GGGGUGCUCGAGUGGCGAACGGGUGAGUAACACGUGAGUAACCUGCCCUUGACUUUGGGAUAACUUCAGGAAACUGGGGCUAAUACCGGAUAGGAGCUCCUGCUGCAUGGUGGGGGUUGGAAAGUUUCGGCGGUUGGGGACGGACUCGCGGCUUAUCAGCUUGUUGGUGGGGUAGUGGCUUACCAAGGCUUUGACGGGUAGCCGGCCUGAGAGGGUGACCGGCCACAUUGGGACUGAGAUACGGCCCAG
rnacentral:rRNA from 1 species